rnacentral:rRNA from 1 species
AGCGAACGUUAGCGGCGCGCCUAACACAUGCAAGUCGAGCGUGAAAGGGGCAACCUGAGUAAAGCGGCGGACGGGUGCGUAACACGUAGAUAACCUGCCCUUUGGAGGGGGAUAACGUUCCGAAAGGAACGCUAAUACCGCGUAAAGCGUUUGGUGGUUCGCCACUAGACGGCAAAGACUGGGACUCGCCAGGGCCAGUCGCCAGAGGAGGGGGCGGCGGCCCAUCAGCUAGUUGGUAAGGUAAUGGCUUACCAAGGCAAAGACGGGUAGCUGGUCUGAGGGGAUGAUCAGCCACACUGGUACUGGGACACGGACCAGACUCCUACGGGGGGCAGCAGUGGGGAAUCUUGGUCAAUGGGCGCAAGCCUGAACCAGCGACGCCGCGUGAGUGAUGAAGGCCUUCGGGUUGUAAAGCUCUGUGGGGAGGGACGAAAGAGCAUGUUCUAACAGGACAUGUGUUGACGGUACCUCCUUAGCAAGCACCGGCUAACUCUGUGCCAGCAGCCGCCGUAA